AGCCGUAGCGAAAGCGAGUCUGAAUAGGGCGUUGAGUAUUUGGUCGUAGACCCGAAACCAGGUGAUCUACCCUUGGUCAGGUUGAAGUUCAGGUAACACUGAAUGGAGGACCGAACCGACUUACGUUGAAAAGUGAGCGGAUGAACUGAGGGUAGCGGAGAAAUUCCAAUCGAACUUGGAGAUAGCUGGUUCUCUCCGAAAUAGCUUUAGGGCUAGCCUCAAGUGAUGAUUAUUGGAGGUAGAGCACUGUUUGGACGAGGGGCCCCUCUCGGGUUACCGAAUUCAGACAAACUCCGAAUGCCAAUUAAUUUAACUUGGGAGUCAGAACAUGGGUGAUAAGGUCCGUGUUCGAAAGGGAAACAGCCCAGACCACCAGCUAAGGUCCCAAAAUAUAUGUUAAGUGGAAAAGGAUGUGGCGUUGCCCAGACAACUAGGAUGUUGGCUUAGAAGCAGCCAUCAUUUAAAGAAAGCGUAAUAGCUCACUGGUCGAGUCGGCCUGCGCGGAAGAUGUAACGGGG
rnacentral:rRNA from 1 species